AUAAUACUCCCUUUGUCCAACAAAAACAAAAGAUGUCUCAAGUUUGUCAAAAUUUGAUGUAUCUAGACAUAACUUAGUGUAUAGAUGCAUUUAAAUUUAGUCAAAGUUGAGACAUCCUUUGUUGGAAGAAGGGAGUACAGC
rnacentral:pre_miRNA from 1 species